CUGGCUGGCAGUGAAGACGGUGCCAGGGCAGUGACUAGACGCCACCUCUCCUGACACAUCACCUGUCCUGUGUCACUGACAUCACUGACUUCACCACCUCUCCUUCCUGCUAGCUACACCUACUGGUGAGAGGUGACUAUGGGCGUGACCUGGGAAGGUGGUGGGCGUCUCAAUGCCCACACCCGCCCACUGACUCUGCUGACGCUGCUGACUCUGCUGAUUCAAGGAUCUCAGGCUUCCAGCUGUAUUAAGGAAUUUACAUGGGACAAUACAACGAAAACGGUGACCUUGGAGGGCAGGGG